GAUGAACGCUGACAGAAUGCUUAACACAUGCAAGUCAACUGUGGCGGACGGGUGAGUAACGCGUAAAGAACUUGCCUCACAGAUAGGGACAACAUUUGGAAACGAAUGCUAAUACCUAAUACUGUGAGAGAGCUUUGCGUUCCAUUAGCCAGUUGGAGAGGUAACGGCUCACCAAGGCGAUGAUGGGUAGCCGGCCUGGGAGGGUGAUCGGCCCCAAGGGGACCGAGGUACGGCCCUUACUCCUUCGGGAGGCAGCAGUGGGGAAUAUUGGACAAUGGACCAAAGUCUGAUCCAGUAAUUCUGUGUGCACGAUGAAGUUUUCGGAAUGUAAAGUGCUUUCAGUUGGGAAGCAGUACCAACAGAAGAAGUGCCGGCUAAAUACGUGCCAGCAGCCGCGGUAAUUC
rnacentral:rRNA from 1 species